UACGGAGGGGGCUAGCGUUGUUCGGAAUUACUGGGCGUAAAGCGCGCGUAGGCGGCUUUGUAAGUUAGAGGUGAAAGCCCGGAGCUCAACUCCGGAACUGCCUUUAAGACUGCAUCGCUAGAACGAUGGAGAGGUAAGUGGAAUUCCGAGUGUAGAGGUGAAAUUCGUAGAUAUUCGGAAGAACACCAGUGGCGAAGGCGACUUACUGGACAUCUGUUGGCGCUGAGGUGCGAAAGCGUGGGGAGCAAACAGG
rnacentral:rRNA from 1 species